AAUUUAUGUUUAGGAAAGAAGACUUCUAUUCUCCCCUGGACUUCUAUGGGGUUUUAUAAGAAGUGAAAGAAUGACCUAGUUUAGAAAUUAACUUCAUGACCUACUAAUACCAUGAACCUAACACUGACAUUGAAAAGGUUCAAGUUGCAGCAAAGCUUUAAAAAACCUGUAUUUGAGAGCAAUGCUAUUUAUCAAGGACCCAGGUUUGAGCUAGCUGUGGGUUUCCGCCCCUGCCUUUUAGAAUUUUAGCUUAACACUACUAUUUUCCUUUCAGCAGCACCUCUGGGAGUGUAUUUCGGCCAUCGGGAAGAGUAAUGCUGAAGUGAAGUAAAGGUGUGAUGGGAAACUCAGCUGAAUUUAAAGAUGGCUACAUGCCUGAACUCUCUUAAGAUAGGUGACUGCCAAAGGCCAAGAACUGCUCUCUUGACUCUACAGAAACCCGGGCAGGGCUGCCGUAUACUCUGGGUCAAACUGUCUUUUUACAACUGGUCUGGAAGUAAAUCCCUUCAAAUGUGACUCGUCUCUGGUGAGACCAAAAGGUCGAUCACACCACUGUGACGCAGCCAACCAGCACACAGGACGAUUGAUGUGAGAGGAGGAAUUCUUGGCCAGGAGCAGUGGGGGAAAAUAAAACCCUCCCUCUGCUUGGAAAUGCCUGUAACAGAAGGGCCUGUACCCUGAUUUGCUGGAAGGUGUGUCCAAAAUUACAUUCCAUCCAUUCUUUACCACAGAUUCUUAUUGGAGAGGAAAACCUCAAGCUUUCUGCUUUCCAAUUCUUAUCAAAACAAAAGUUAAAAGAAAAAUAUGGAUGGAACAUGGGCUGAAAGACAGGACCAAAAUCCUUGUGGCCAAAUCCUUGGCUUCCCCAACAGGGAUUGAAUCUGCACAGCACGCAUCAGGAUAGCGAAGUCUAAACCUGUGGGCUUUCUGGGAAGUCCCAUUUCUUCAUUUUCUUAUGGUCAUGUGGCUUCCAAUUCUUCCAACAGAAUUGAAGAAUGACAUAAUCAAAUCAUCAGCUUAACUUUAUUAAAUAUGAAUUUUGAUGAUAAAUUACUAUAUGGGUUUUGGCUUAUAAUUCAGAGAGAGUUCAAAGGUCUGAGUGACCCUGCUAUAACAAAACAUCUUCCAUUCUUAUUUGCUUAUUUGUAUAAACAAGUUCUUUCAGGGAACAUUGUAUGUAAAGCAAAAAAUGUGAAUAAAAUUAGUGCUGGUCUGUUUUAUUCUAGCCAUAAAUAAUAUUAACCUAUGAAUACAAAAAUUAAAUAGGGGGGAAACAGUCUACCAACCAAAUUAAUAGAAGCAUUUCCAACAUAAUUCAUUGUAAUUAAAAAUU